rnacentral:rRNA from 1 species
GAUGAACGCUGGCGGUGUGCCUAAUACAUGCAAGUCGAGCGAACAGAUAAGGAGCUUGCUCCUUUGACGUUAGCGGCGGACGGGUGAGUAACACGUGGGUAACCUACCUAUAAGACUGGAAUAACUCCGGGAAACCGGGGCUAAUGCCGGAUAACAUUUAGAACCGCAUGGUUCUAAAGUGAAAGAUGGUUUUGCUAUCACUUAUAGAUGGACCCGCGCCGUAUUAGCUAGCUGGUAAGGUAACGGCUUACCAAGGCAACGAUACGUAGCCGACCUGAGAGGGUGAUCGGCCACACUGGAACUGAGACACGGUCCAGACUCCUACGGGAGGCAGCAGUAGGGAAUCUUCGGCAAUGGGCGAAAGCCUGACGGAGCAACGCCGCGUGAGUGAUGAAGGUCUUCGGAUCGUAAAGCUCUGUUAUUAGGGAAGAACAAAUGUGUAAGUAACUGUGCACGUCUUGACGUUACCUAAUCAGAAAGCCACGGCUAACUACGUG